rnacentral:lncRNA from 1 species
AAUAAUUAUUCAAAUUUCAAACACACAUAUUCAUGUAUAUAUAUAAUAAAGUAAAAAUGUGUUUGAGUGGUCCUCUAAUUUAGAAAGGGAGUGUUGUUGAACUCACAUGGUCGUCCCAGGAGUGGUCCUUGUUGUAGAUAAUGGCGGCUCCAAGGCUUCUAGCUGGGUUGAUUCCGGUUCCGGUUAUCGGAAUUGUCGCCAGGUGUACCAAGAACACUGCAAACCCGAUUGGGAGUGGCGCCAAUAUCUACAAUUUCCAUUUGAUAGAAAAAAUAUCAGACACAAACCGGAAACAAUAAGAGAAAAACUAAUUGGCUCGUUGGCUACUACUAAUUAAACCAUAUAAAAUCAACAAACCGAACACCUGAGAAAUAGCAAACCGGAAUAAACCGGGAAAGUGGGGUACUUACCGGGACGUGUGAAUCACGGGCGCUUCUCUUGGCGUCGGUGGCGGAGAAGACCGUGUAGACGAGAACGAAGGUUCCGAUGAUUUCAGCACCGAGUCCAGAACCCUUGGUGUAGCCGGGAGCGACUGUGUUGGCACCGCCACCGAGAGUCUGGUACGGCGUUGGCUGGAAACCCUUGACGACUCCGGCACCACAGAUGGCUCCGAGGCAUUGCAUUAUCAUGUAGAACACAGCUCUGGUCAGAGACAAUUUCCGAGCCAAGAAC